rnacentral:rRNA from 1 species
UACGGGGGGGCAAGCGUUGUUCGGAAUUACUGGGCGUAAAGGGCUCGUAGGUGGCCAACUAAGUCAGACGUGAAAUCCCUCGGCUUAACCGGGGAACUGCGUCUGAUACUGGAUGGCUUGAGUUUGGGAGAGGGACGCGGAAUUCCAGGUGUAGCGGUGAAAUGCGUAGAGAUGCGGAGGAACACCGAUGGCGAAGGCAGCCCCCUGGGCUGACACUGACGCUCAGGCACGAAAGCGUGGGGA